GCAAGAGCUCAAAUUUGAAAGCUGGCCCCCUCGGGGUCCGCAUUGUAAUUUGCAGAGGAUGCUUCGGGAGCGGUCCCCAUCUAAGUGCCCUGGAACGGGCCGUCAUAGAGGGUGAGAAUCCCGUAUGGGAUGGGGUGCCCGCGCCCGUGUGAAGCUCCUUCGACGAGUCGAGUUGUUUGGGAAUGCAGCUCUAAUUGGGUGGUAAAUUUCAUCUAAAGCUAAAUAUUGGCCGGAGACCGAUAGCGCACAAGUAGAGUGAUCGAAAGAUGAAAAGCACUUUGAAAAGAGAGUUAAACAGCACGUGAAAUUGUUGAAAGGGAAGCGCUUGCGAUCAGACUCGCUCGCGGGGUUCAGCCGGCCUUCGGGCCGGUGUACUUCCCCGCGGGCGGGCCAGCGUCGGUUUGGGCGGCCGGUCAAAGGCCCCUGGAAUGUAACGCCUCUCGGGGCGUCUUAUAGCCAGGGGUGCCAUGCGGCCUGCCCGGACCGAGGAACGCGCUUCGGCUCGGACGCUGGCAUAAUGGUCGUAAGCGACCCGUCUUGAAACACGGACCAAGGAGUCUAACAUCUACCCGAGUGUUCGGGUGUCAAACCCGUGCGCGCAGUGAAAGCGAACGGAGGUGGGAACCCCUCGGGGUGCACCAUCGACCGAUCCUGAUGUCUUCGGAUGGAUUUGAGUAAGAGCGUAGCUGUUGGGACCCGAAAGAUGGUGAACUAUGCCUGAAUAGGGCGAAGCCCGAGGAAACUCUUGUGG
rnacentral:rRNA from 1 species